GUGUCAGCAGCCGCGGUAAUACGAAGGGUGCAAACGUUAUUCGGAAUCACUGGGCGUAAAGGGUGCGUAGAUGGUAUGUUAAGUUCGUUGUUAAAGGCUCCGGCCUAACUGGAGUAUUGCGAUGAAAACUGGCGUACUAGAGGGUGAGAGAGAGAAGUGGAAUUCCCGGAGUAGCGGUAAAAUGCGUGGAUCUCGGGAGGAACACCAAUGGCGAAGGCAGCUUCUUGGCUCAUUCCUGACAUUGAGGCACGAAAGCGUGGGGAGCAAACAGGAUUAGAUACCCUGGUAGUCC
rnacentral:rRNA from 1 species